rnacentral:rRNA from 1 species
UUUGAUCCAUGGCUCAGGAUGAACGCUAGCUACAGGCUUAACACAUGCAAGUCGAGGGGAAACGGCAUUGAGUGCUUGCACUCUUUGGACGUCGACCGGCGCACGGGUGAGUAACGCGUAUCCAACCUUCCCAUUACUGUGGGAUAACCUGCCGAAAGGCAGACUAAUACCGCAUGGUCUUCGAUGACGGCAUCAGAUUUGAAGUAAAGAUUUAUCGGUAAUGGAUGGGGAUGCGUCUGAUUAGUUUGUUGGCGGGGUAACGGCCCACCAAGGCGACGAUCAGUAGGGGUUCUGAGAGGAAGGUCCCCCACAUUGGAACUGAGACACGGUCCAAACUCCUACGGGAGGCAGCAGUGAGGAAUAUUGGUCAAUGGACGUAAGUCUGAACCAGCCAAGUAGCGUGCAGGAUGACGGCCCUAUGGGUUGUAAACUGCUUUUGUAUGGGGAUAAAGUCAGUCACGUGUGAUUGUUUGCAGGUACCAUACGAAUAAGGACCGGCUAAUUCCGUGCCAGCAGCCGCGGUAAUACGGAAGGUCCGGGCGUUAUCCGGAUUUAUUGGGUUUAAAGGGAGCGUAGGCCGGAGAUUAAGUGUGUUGUGAAAUGUAGACGCUCAACGUCUGACUUGCAGCGCAUACUGGUUUCCUUGAGUACGCACAACGUUGGCGGAAUUCGUCGUGUAGCGGUGAAAUGCUUAGAUAUGACGAAGAACUCCGAUUGCGAAGGCAGCUGACGGGAGCGCAACUGACGCUUAAGCUCGAAGGUGCGGGUAUCAAACAGGAUUAGAUACCCUGGUAGUCCGCACAGUAAACGAUGGAUGCCCGCUGUUGGUACCUGGUAUCAGCGGCUAAGCGAAAGCAUUAAGCAUCCCACCUGGGGAGUACGCCGGCAACGGUGAAACUCAAAAGGAAUUGACGGGGGCCCGCACAAGCGGAGGAACAUGUGGUUUAAUUCGAUGAUACGCGAGGAACCUUACCCGGGCUUGAAUUGCAGAGGAAGUAUUUAGAGAUGAAUGACGCCCUUCGGGGUCUCUGUGAAGGUGCUGCAUGGUUGUCGUCAGCUCGUGCCGUGAGGUGUCGGCUUAAGUGCCAUAAACGAGCGCAACCCCUCUCUUCAGUUGCCAUCAGGUUAUGCUGGGCACUCUGGAGACACUGCCACCGUAAGGUGUGAGGAAGGUGGGGAUGACGUCAAUUCGGCGCGGCCCUUACGUCCGGGGCUACGACACGUGUUACAAUGGCCGGUACGGAGGGAGGGUGUAUGUGAAAUUGCGUCAAGUCUUGAAAAGCCGGUCCCGGUUCGAGCUGGGGUCUGCGACCCGGCCCCCGCGAAGGCUGAUUCGGCGGUGAUCGCGCGCGCGGCCGUGGCGGCGGUAGGUCGUUCCCGGGCCU